GCAGCAGCCACGGUAAUACGAAGGGUGCAAGCGUUAAUCGGAAUUACUGGGCGUAAAGGGUGCGUAGGCGGGUCUUUAAGUCAGGGGUGAAAUCCUGGAGCUCAACUCCAGAACUGCCUUUGAUACUGAAGAUCUUGAGUUCGGGAGAGGUGAGUGGAACUGCGAGUGUAGAGGUGAAAUUCGUAGAUAUUCGCAAGAACACCAGUGGCGAAGGCGGCUCGCUGGCCCGAUACUGACGCUGAGGCACGAAAGCGUGGGGAGCAAACAGGAUUAGAUACCCCCGUAGUCCCUGUCUCUUAUCA
rnacentral:rRNA from 1 species